rnacentral:rRNA from 1 species
UGGGGAAUAUUGCACAAUGGGCGCAAGCCUGAUGCAGCCAUGCCGCGUGUGUGAAGAAGGCCUUCGGGUUGUAAAGCACUUUCAGCGAGGAGGAAGGGUAGUGUGUUAAUAGCACAUUGCAUUGACGUUACUCGCAGAAGAAGCACCGGCUAACUCCGUGCCAGCAGCCGCGGUAAUACGGAGGGUGCAAGCGUUAAUCGGAAUUACUGGGCGUAAAGCGCACGCAGGCGGUUUGUUAAGUCAGAUGUGAAAUCCCCGCGCUUAACGUGGGAACUGCAUUUGAAACUGGCAAGCUAGAGUCUUGUAGAGGGGGGUAGAAUUCCAGGUGUAGCGGUGAAAUGCGUAGAGAUCUGGAGGAAUACCGGUGGCGAAGGCGGCCCCCUGGACAAAGACUGACGCUCAGGUGCGAAAGC